AAGUACUCCCAAAUUAAUGAUUUCUGUUUGGUUUCAUAGUGGUACAAGGUGGAGUUGCAGAGGCCGCUGGAAAAGGGUGGAAGGCAGACAUUGGCUUACCCUUUUGGGUAAGUCUUGGUCCUCUAGCAAAAAAAAAGGGAGAAUCUGCAAGUCCUCGGCUGUCAAGCUGCUGUCCGAGAAGGCUCGCUGCCUCGGGCCUUCGUGUUCGCUGCCUGGCUCGACGGCUGUGCGGAUAGGGGCGUGGUUUCUCGAAGGUUGGGCUGGUGGAACGAGGCCCAGUAGCAUUCCUUCGUAAUAAUAUAGUAUCCCGUAUUUUCUUCAACAAUUUCAUAUAUGUGAUGAUCAUAUAGGUUAAUGUCCUAUGUUUUCGAACACCCUUAGUCCGGGUCUUGGGAUAUACAUCUUCAUAUCCUUGUACACUUUCAUUUAUUUCUAUUAUAUAUAUACAUUGUUUUGUUUUC